rnacentral:tRNA from 1 species
AUUUAAAUAGCUUAAAUUAAAAGAGCAUGAUAUUGAAGAUAUCAAGGUAAUAUUUUUUAUUUUUAAAUA